UCCGGUGAUUUUUGUCUUUUAAACCAGAAAGACAGCUGACAUAUCUAACCGACACUCACGCCACAGAAACUAAAACAACAGAGCAAAGGCACCAUGGAGUGCUGGGAUGUCAAAGGCAACAAGAUGGCUGCAAUACUACGAGCCUAAAAUUAAAAAAAGGAGCCUGACCAGGUGCAGAAGGCAGCAGUCCCCAUCAUUGCUG